rnacentral:sRNA from 1 species
GUUACAAAGGGUAUAAGCUAUUAGAUAUAGAGACACAUGCCGUUUCUAUUUCAAGACAUGUCAUUUU